rnacentral:rRNA from 1 species
GACGAACGCUGGCGGCGUGCUUAACACAUGCAAGUCGAACGGUGAAGGGGUCUGCUUUUGUGGGCCCUGGAUGAGUGGCGAACGGGUGAGUAACACGUGAGUAACCUGCCCCCUUCUUCUGGAUAACCGCAUGAAAGUGUGGCUAAUACGGGAUAUUCUGGGUCUGUCGCAUGAUGGGUCUGGGAAAGAUUGCGCCUUUGGGUGUUUUUGGUGGGGGAUGGGCUCGCGGCCUAUCAGCUUGUUGGUGGGGUGAUGGCCUACCAAGGCGGUGACGGGUAGCCGGCCGGAGAGGGUGGACGGUCACACUGGGACUGAGACACGGCCCAGACUCCUACGGGAGGCAGCAGUGGGGAAGAGUGCACAAUGGGCGCAAGCCUGAUGCAGCGACGCCGCGUGAGGGAGGGAGGCCUUCGGGUUGUAAACCUCUUUCGCCAGUGAAGCAGGCCUGCUCCUUGUGGGUGGGUUGACGGUAGCUGGAUAAGAAGCGCCGGCUAACUACGUG